UACGUAGGGUGCAAGCGUUGUCCGGAAUUACUGGGUGUAAAGGGAGUGUAGGCGGGAUAGCAAGUCAGAUGUGAAAACUAUGGGCUCAACCCAUAGACUGCAUUUGAAACUGCUGUUCUUGAGUGAAGUAGAGGUUGGCGGAAUUCCUAGUGUAGCGGUGGAAUGCGUAGAUAUUAGGAGGAACAUCAGUGGCGAAGGCGGCCAACUGGGCUUUUACUGACGCUGAGGCUCGAAAGCGUGGGGAGCAAAC
rnacentral:rRNA from 1 species